CAUGCAGUCGAACGAGAGAAGAGAAGCUUGCUUUUCUGAUCUAGUGGCGGACGGGUGAGUAACACGUGAGCAAUCUGCCUUUCAGAGGGGGAUACCGAUUGGAAACGAUCGUUAAUACCGCAUAAUAUAAUUGAACCGCAUGAUUUGAUUAUCAAAGAUUUAUCGCUGAAAGAUGAGCUCGCGUCUGAUUAGCUAGUUGGUAAGGUAACGGCUUACCAAGGCGACGAUCAGUAGCCGGACUGAGAGGCUGAUCGGCCACAUUGGGACUGAGACACGGCCCAGACUCCUACGGGAGGCAGCAGUGGGGAAUAUUGCACAAUGGAGGAAACUCUGAUGCAGCGAUGCCGCGUGAGGGAAGAAGGUUUUAGGAUUGUAAACCUCUGUCUUCAGGGACGAAAAAUGACGGUACCUGAGGAGGAAGCUCCGGCUAACUACGUGCCAGCAGCCGCGGUAAUACGUAGGGAGCGAGCGUUGUCCGGAAUUACUGGGUGUAAAGGGAGCGUAGGCGGGAUCGCAAGUCAGAUGUGAAAACUAUGGGCUUAACCCAUAAACUGCAUUUGAAACUGUGGUUCUUGAGUGAAGUAGAGGUAAGCGGAAUUCCUAGUGUAGCGGUGAAAUGCGUAGAUAUUAGGAGGAACAUCAGUGGCGAAGGCGGCUUACUGGGCUUUAACUGACGCUGAGGCUCGAAAGCGUGGGGAGCAAACAGGAUUAGAUACCCUGGUAGUCCACGCCGUAAACGAUGAUUACUAGGUGUGGGGGGACUGACCCCUUCCGUGCCGCAGCAAACGCAAUAAGUAAUCCACCUGGGGAGUACGACCGCAAGGUUGAAACUCAAAGGAAUUGACGGGGGCCCGCACAAGCAGUGGAGUAUGUGGAUUAAUUCGAAGCAACGCGAAGAACCUUACCAGGUCU
rnacentral:rRNA from 1 species